rnacentral:rRNA from 1 species
GAUGAACGCUGGCGGCGUGCCUAAUACAUGCAAGUCGAGCGAACAGACGAGGGGCUUGCUCCUCUGACGGUAGCGGCGGGCAGGUGAGUAACACGUGGAGAACCUCCCUAUAAGACGGGGGUAAAUUCGGGAAACGGGAGCUAAUACCGGGUAAUAUAGUGAACCGCAUGGUUCAAUAGUGAAAGACGGUUUUGCUGUCUCUUAGAGAUGGAUCCGGGCUGCAUGAGCUAGUUGGUAAGGUAACGGCUUACCAAGGCAACGAUGCGUAGCCGACCUGAGCGGGUGAUCGGCCACACUGGAAGUGAGACACGGCCCAGACUCCUACGGUAGGAAGCAGUAGGGAAUCUUCCGCAAUGGGCGAAAGCCUGACGGAGCAACGCCGCGUGAGUGAUGAAGGUCUUCGGAUCGUAAAACUCUGUUAUUAGGGAAGAACAAAUGUGUAAGUAACUGUGCACGUCUUGACGGUACCCAAUCAGAAAGCCACGGCUAACUACGUG